rnacentral:rRNA from 1 species
GACGAACGCUGGCGGCGCGCCUAACACAUGCAAGUCGAACGAGAGAUGAAGAGCUUGCUCUUCAGAUCGAGUGGCGAACGGGUGAGUAACGCGUGAGGAACCUGCCUCAAAGAGGGGGACAACAGUUGGAAACGACUGCUAAUACCGCAUAAGCGCACGGUAUCGCAUGAUACAGUGUGAAAAACUCCGGUGGUAUAAGAUGGACCCGCGUCUGAUUAGCUUGUUGGUGAGGUAACGGCCCACCAAGGCGACGAUCAGUAGCCGGACUGAGAGGUUGACCGGCCACAUUGGGACUGAGAUACGGCCCAGACUCCUACGGGAGCAGCAGUGGGGAAUAUUGGGCAAUGGGCGCAAGCCUGACCCAGCAACGCCGCGUGAAGGAAGAAGGCUUUCGGGUUGUAAACUCUUUUAAGAGGGAAGAGCAGAAGACUGUACCUCUAGAAUAAGCCACGGCUAACUACGUG